rnacentral:rRNA from 1 species
GAUCCUGGCUCAGGACGAACGCUGGCGGCACGCUUAACACAUGCAAGUCGAACGAGAGAAGAGAAGCUUGCUUUUCUGAUCUAGUGGCGGACGGGUGAGUAACACGUGAGCAAUCCGCCUUUCAGAGGGGGAUACUGAUUGGAAACGAUCGUUAAUACCGCAUAACAUAAUUGAACCGCAUGAUUUGAUUAUCAAAGAUUUAUCGCUGAAAGAUGAGCUCGCGU